UCUCAGUCUAUACGCCACAGCAGGGUCACUUCAAUAAACCACUAAGUCCAACCGUUACGCCCCCACGCCAACAGGGGAGACACUUCCUCUAGUGAGCAGUGGUUGCACUGUGGUCGCGCUUCCACCAGAACAGCUGAUAGGAUAAACAACAGUCAGUGUGCGGCGGCAAAUUCAGAGAGGAGCAUCUCCAAGCCUCACCAGCGCUCAUUCCUUCUAGAAGAGGGGACCUUUUAAACGAGCACUUCCCUUUUUGCUUGGAAGAAUGGAGAGCAUUGGAUCUAGUGCCAGAUGAGUGGUUACUUGUCUCGCCAGGAGAAUGGACAUCUGCUUUUGGAAAAUCAGAGCCAGCCGUAGCCUACCAGGGUUCACUCGGAGACACAUAGGCACUACCGGAGCAAUGGUAAGAUUUAAAGAAUAUGCUUUCAUUAUGCGGUAGGCUAUAAGGAAAUGGAUACGUGUAGAUACCAUAGGAUAGAUACCGAUCAUAACUGUACAUUUUGUUUUCACAGACUAAUCUCGCCUCAUAAUGAGGCGGUGACCUCCUAUUUGCUCGGAGCAAUAUCUGCAAGUCCAGAUUUACACGAUGUUGAUAAAGACGACAUUCCGCCUGUAAGACGUAUUACGAGACGGUACGCAGGAGCUUUAGAUAUACCCAGCCAGAAAACUCAUUGCGGGCGGAAGCUGCGAAGAGUUCAGCUCGGAGUCGAGCGAGAAGAAAGAGGCUGCUGGAAUCGAGACAGAGUGUGCUAGCAGAUGACGAGGUGGAACUCUGGAAGUCCGCCACCGUAGACCUCAUGUCUGACGAAGAAGAUGGCGUUGUUGGCGGGGUCUCUGGAUGGAUUGUACGGUCGCUGUCAUUU